rfam:Triticum aestivum genome assembly, contig: Triticum_aestivum_CS42_TGACv1_scaffold_112682_2AS
CUUGUACUCCCUCCGUCCAAAAAUACUAGUCAUUGAAAUGAAUGUAUCUAGAUGUAUUUUAGUUCUAGACACAUCCAUUUUGAUGACAAGUAAUUCUGAACGGAGGGAGUACUUG